rnacentral:lncRNA from 1 species
GAAAGAGGCAAGGGAUCUUUAUGAGUAGAAGAAGCUAAAGAAAAUGGCCACGCACCCGUGGUUUUGGAGACAUAGCAUACAAGAGACAAUGUCAUCAACUCAAGGACAAGUGUGACUGAGAACAGUCAGGUGUAGGAGCUUCCUGCAGUUGAGCCUCCUUCCAUCCGUGGCCCUGAGCUCGGCAGCAUUUCCAAAAACAUAGAGGUAUGGCACUACUUCACCACUAUCUUCCUGAGUGGAUCUCAGAAGGAAGUCAUCUGGACAUACGUUCCUGCUGCUCACAAAUGGGAUCUGUCACCUUUCUCAUUUUGUUAUAAGCUGAAGAGAUGACUGUGUUCCAGUGCUGGUAAACGGAUGGCAGACCUGGAGAUGUUUAUACAGAGCUGAGAACUGGAAAAGGCCUGGUGAGUUCCUGUCUGGAGCCUCCUCUCCUGCCUCUGCUAGAAAGGAGUUCAAGCCAGUGUAGAGCUUAACACGUCAUCAAAGCUCUUCUGUAUACGGGUCAAGUCCAGAGUCAGGAGAAAACAGAACCUGGGCCAAAUAAACAGAAUCCUACAAAAAUCUCAAAGUAAAACAUCAAAUAAAAUGUACGCAGAGGGACUGGCUGGUGGGAUGAUUUGGCAGAGAGGGUACCUGCCUAGAGACCUGAGUUCAAUCUCCAGGGUGCACAUAAAAAUGGAGGGAGAGAAACUAUUCCACAGGACUGACCUCUGACUGCUGUAUGUAUGCCAGGGUGUAUGCACUCACAUACAUAAACCAUGUGCGCAAAUGCACACCAAUAUCAUUAAAAUGUAAUGUUUGUAAAGUACCAAAGUGUCUGGAGAGAAGCGCAGAAGUUAAAAUCACGUGCUGCCCUUGCAGAGGAUUUAGAUUUGGUUUCCAGCAUCCCCUCCGAAUGGCUCAUUAGUUUCCUGUAACUCCAGUUCCUGGGGACCCAAUGCCCUCUGGCUUUUGUACACAUGUGAUGUACAUAAGCUCACAAAAGCAUACAUGUACAUUCAAAUAAAUCAAUAAAUAUUUUUUAAGUACUCAUGUACAAGCAUGAAGACCUGAGUUCAAAUCCCCGGCAUCUAUGUACAAAGCCAAGCAAAACCAUGCAUUCCCAUAACCCCAGCACUGGGCCAGCAGAGUGGGAGGCAGGGCAGAGACAAGAGGCCUCCCAGGCUCACCAGGGCCCUCAGCAAAGACUAGGGAGGUCCCCCAGAGGCUUCUGUGUGCACACAUAGCCGAUUCAGAACCUGGGA